GGACUACUGGGGUUUCUAAUCCUGUUUGCUCCCCUUGCUCUCGCGCCUCAGCGUCAGGUGAUAGCUAGAAAGCCGCUUUCGCCACAGGUGUUCUUCCACAUAUCUACGCAUUUCACCGCUACACGUGGAAUUCCACUUCCUCCGCCAUCCCUCAAGAUGUAUAGUUUCAAAUGCAGCUCCGAAGUUGAGCCUCGGAAUUUCACAUCUGACUUAUACAUCCGCCUACGCGCCCUUUACGCCCAAUUAUUCCGAUUAAUGCUUGCACCCUCCGUAUUACCGCGGCUGCUGGCAC
rnacentral:rRNA from 1 species